rnacentral:rRNA from 1 species
UACGGAGGGGGCGAGCGUUAUUCGGAAUUAUUGGGCGUAAAGCGCGCGUAGGCGGCUACUUAAGUCGGAUGUGAAAGCCCUUGGCUCAACUGAGGAAGUGCACCCGAAACUGAGUGGCUUGAGUACUAAAGAGGGUCGCGGAAUUCCCGGUGUAGAGGUGAAAUUCGUAGAUAUCGGGAGGAACACCGGUGGCGAAGGCGGCGACCUGGGUAGAUACUGACGCUGAGGCGCGAAAGCGUGGGGAGCAACAGG